rnacentral:rRNA from 1 species
CGGCGUGCUUAACACAUGCAAGUCGAACGGAAAGGCCCUGCUUUUGUGGGGUGCUCGAGUGGCGAACGGGUGAGUAACACGUGAGUAACCUGCCCUUGACUUUGGGAUAACUUCAGGAAACUGGGGCUAAUACCGGAUAGGAGCUCCUGCUGCAUGGUGGGGGUUGGAAAGUUUCGGCGGUUGGGGAUGGACUCGCGGCUUAUCAGCUUGUUGGUGGGGUAGUGGCUUACCAAGGCUUUGACGGGUAGCCGGCCUGAGAGGGUGACCGGCCACAUUGGGACUGAGAUACGGCCCAGACUCCUACGGGAGGCAGCAGUGGGGAAUAUUGCACAAUGGGCGGAAGCCUGAUGCAGCAACGCCGCGUGCGGGAUGACGGCCUUCGGGUUGUAAACCGCUUUCGCCUGUGACGAAGCGUGAGUGACGGUAAUGGGUAAAGAAGCACCGGCUAACUACGUGCCAGCAGCCGCGGUGAUACGUAGGGUGCGAGCGUUGUCCGGAUUUAUUGGGCGUAAAGGGCUCGUAGGUGGUUGAUCGCGUCGGAAGUGUAAUCUUGGGGCUUAACCCUGAGCGUGCUUUCGAUACGGGUUGACUUGAGGAAGGUAGGGGAGAAUGGAAUUCCUGGUGGAGCGGUGGAAUGCGCAGAUAACAGGAGGAACACCAGUGGCGAAGGCGGUUCUCUGGGCCUUUCCUGACGCUGAGGAGCGAAAGCGUGGGGAGCGAACAGGCUUAGAUACCCUGGUAGUCCACGCUGUAAACGGUGGGUACUAGGUGUGGGGUCCAUUCCACGGGUUCCGUGCCGUAGCUAACGCUUUAAGUACCCCGCCUGGGGAGUACGGCCGCAAGGCUAAAACUCAAAGGAAUUGACGGGGCCCCGCACAAGCGGCGGAGCAUGCGGAUUAAUUCGAUGCAACGCGUAGAACCUUACCUGGGUUUGACAUGGAUCGGGAGUGCUCAGAGAUGGGUGUGCCUCUUUUGGGGUCGGUUCACAGGUGGUGCAUGGCUGUCGUCAGCUCGUGUCGUGAGAUGUUGGGUUAAGUCCCGCAACGAGCGCAACCCUUGUUCACUGUUGCCAGCACGUUAUGGUGGGGACUCAGUGGAGACCGCCGGGGUCAACUCGGAGGAAGGUGGGGAUGACGUCAAGUCAUCAUGCCCCUUAUGUCCAGGGCUUCACGCAUGCUACAAUGGCUGGUACAGAGAGUGGCGAGCCUGUGAGGGUGAGCGAAUCUCGGAAAGCCGGUCUCAGUUCGGAUUGGGGUCUGCAACUCGACCUCAUGAAGUCGGAGUCGCUAGUAAUCGCAGAUCAGCAACGCUGCGGUGAAUACGUUCCCGGGGCUUGUACACACCGCCCGUCAAGUCAUGAAAGUUGGUAACACCCGAAGCCGGUGGCCUAACCGUUGUGGGGGAGCCGUCGAAGGUGGGACUGGUGAUAAGGACUAAGUAG